GCAGGUUGAGAUUUAGACCAGGUCCAUCUGACUCCAGAGCUACAGUCUUAACUGCUAGACUCUGCCGUUUCCUAGGGGAAUGCAUCACUUUAAAGCUGGGAGAGAACGAGACUAGUGCAUGAAAAGAGGGGCAGUGAAGAAUCUAUUUUAAAACCGCAGAUGGCAUCUUAGGGGAGGUUGAAGUUUCCAUUGUAGAAGACAGUGAUGCUGUCCCCGUGUUCGGCAAAUACAGACUUGGAGGUCAUGGCUGCAAAAAGCUUGUGGCAAAGGGCAGUUGGAGUAAAUGAGUUGGGAGGUAUGGAAUGCACUAACAGCUUCCUCUAAAGAAAGGGGGGAGCUUGCCUCCUCCUCCCUUGUCCCAGCUCCAGUUCCAAGCUCUCUGACUCCCAGGCCUUCUGUGGAGGCAUGCUCCCUGCCCUGUCCAGCCCCACCAAAGCCCGGGCCCAACCCAGUGUCUUCCAGGGAAAUGGCAGGGGGGGACGGAGCCUGAGAUGACAGCUCCAUGGGGAGCUGCCGAGGCUGCCCUGUCUCCAGAAGCCAAUGGAAGAAACGAAAGAAAGAGGAGGAGAGCCCAGCCCUGCCCCAGUGGAAAGUGGGGCUCCCUGUCCAGUCUGUCAGCGGGAACUUGCCCAAAGUUUUAUUCCUCCCCAAAGAGUCUGAAGGGACUUGCCGUGGGGGGGAGUGAGGGAGGGUGGUUCAGGAAUCUCUAGGGGGUAGAUAUUUUGGUGAAAGAUUGAGCAAGACCAACCACCUGCCUAGGAGACAGGCCUGGCUUCAAACAGGGGUGGCUGCUGGGAUCCCUAAGUAUGUUCUGAGGGAGCUGGGAGGAAGCUGCAAGCUUACUUAUUACACGACUUGAAAGUUCCAGAACAUCACUUCUGCCACAUUGUACUAGGCAAGCAAGCCAUUAAGACCGACUCAGGUCUCAAAAGGUGCAGCAGCGAAGAUUUGUGACCAUCUUUAUCUACCACACACCCCCACCUGCCAGAGGAGGAAAUGAGCCGAGUGGCACCUGACUGCUUCCAGUUCUGGAGACCAGAAGUCUGAAAUGUCUUACAGGCGGAAAUCAAGGUGUCAGCAGGGCUGGUGGCUUCAGGCGGCUCCAGAGCAGAAUCCGUUCCUUGCCUCUUGUGGCUUCUAGAGGCUGCCUGUGCUCCACAGCUGUGGCCCCAUGCUCCGUCUUCAGAGCACACACUCCAACCUCUGCUCGGUCAUCACACCAUCUCUCCUCCUCGCUGACAUUGGCCCUCUCGCCUCCUGCUCACAAGGACCCUUGUGAUUCCAUUGGGCCCACUUCGAUAAUCGGGAUCAUCUCUCCAUCUCAAGAUCCUUAACUUAAUCCCAUCUGCAGUGUCCCUGUGCCAGAUGCUCACCUUUGGAACCCAGCCACCACGUUGCAAGGAAGCCCAGGCCCCAUGGAAAGGUACGCUUGAGGAAGAAACAAGCCCGCCCCGCAACAGCCAGCACCAACUUGCCAGCCAUGUGGAUAGGAAGUGGAUCCUCCAGUCCCAACCAAGCCUCCAGAUACUGCAGCCUUGGCUCACAUUUGACCACAGCUUUAUGAGAGCCAGAAUUACCCGCCAAGCCUCUUCCAGAUCCCUGAUGCUUAGAAACAGUGAGAGCAGAGCUGACCGUUCAGGGCUCCAGCAGCAGAUUGGACCCUCUGUGACAGCAUUUAUCAGCUGGGUUGGGAGCCUCUGCCCUUCCCUCUUCACCAGGCGAUGGAGCUGCCUGAGGGAGAUGACCAGGCUUCCUCCUCUGACUGGCUGAAAGCGUCUCCAGGUCUCUCAGGUCAGAAGGCCGCAGAGCAGGCUCAUGGAGAUGAAGGCUUAGGAGACGACAGGAGAGAAGAAAAAGCCAACACAUGGAAGAUGGUGAUGGAGAAGGAUGGAGAAAGCUCGGGUUUUUAAUGAAAUCACAGAGCUCCCAAACUGUUCCUGAGGAGGCAUUGUUUCCCGAUUUCCUGUUGGUAAACCAUAAAUGUUGCUACAGGGUUUAAGUUUGCCACAUCACAGAAGCCUUGCGAGUGUUUCUGCCAUGUUCUCCUCUGCAUGGAGGAUGCCCUGCCCGUGGAACAGGGACAGUCAUGAAGAAUGGCCAGAGGACCCUGGACUGAAUGAUUCACCAGAAGCAGGAGUGCCUUCUGGAAGUCUGCAGAAAACUUGAGAUGGGCAUUAGACUUUGCAAAAUCCAGGCAGCGACGAUGGUUCAAGGCAUAUUUCCCUUGAUCUUCAGAAGAGUGUGACUACCUCUGGUCUCGUCUGUGGUGUCUCAGUGGCAGUAUGUGUGUAAGAAGGGGGAGGUUUCCGUGUCUGUAUAGUUGCUGGCUGCAUUUGCACCCAUACUUAAAGGUGUGGGUGUUCAUGUGCUUCUUCUGCUUUUGUGUAGGGAUAUUAUUACACAUUGUAUCUUUGUUGGAGAUGCUGCUAAAUGUUCAUGUGAUCAUACUUUUCUUCCUCACUGAGUCUUCAUAGAGGGAAACUGAGUCCCUUCCCACACCUUGAGGAGUAGAGGCUUUCCCAGGAUCUGAGCCCUGCCAAGUAACAUGCGGUCCCUGCUCCCAUCUUUCCUUCUCGUGCCCCUUCCCCAUUUCUCUGACUCCUUCCUCCAACACUAAGAAGAGCCAAGGCCCUUAACCAAGAGCAGGAAAAUAAAAAUCAGGUCACCAGAUGUGCUGCAUUCCAUCCUCUCCUUCCCUACCCCUCCUCACCGCAAUAAAUUCCGAGCGUAUAUACAGCAAGUGCGUGGCAUCCCCUCAAACCUGGCUGUGUCCCUGCCUGGUGACAGACCCUACUGAGGCAGAGACUGUGGGUACCCAUACAAGCCUACCACAUGACCCACCCAUGUCUCCAGCUCCGUGACCCAUUAAUUUGCUCUGUCUAGACCAUCCAAGCAGACCCCAGAAUGAGUUUUUUUCACCCUGAAUGAGGGGUGAUACAUUUGUGCCCUCUGUACUGCCAGGGCUCCUUUUCCCUGUGUGGUCACUGUCUGUCUGGGUGCAGGAGGAGAAUGAGGUCUCCUGGGCAAGAUCACUGUCUGGAUACUGGCGGUGGGGGAGACCGCAGCCCUGCUUUGGCUUGUGCACAGGGCUCUCUCAAGCUGGCCCCCACCUGGAGCCCACAGUGAGUGUCUGGGUCUCUGGAAUGAACAGGGCAUCUGGGAUUCUCAUUGGAGACUGUUUACUUGUCGAUUUGCAUGGCAGGUUAAGAGCCCACAGCAGCCCACUUUCUGCCAGCGAAUUUUAGGAACAACUUCUCCAAGCCAGCGUGGCCCAGCCCAGGCAUAGGCCCUCCUUAGCCCUCCCUCCUUCACUCCCCACAUUGGCCACGUGGAAGUGACUCACUUGGGCUCUCUGAGCCCCUGCCAAGAGCAGCCAGAGCGGUGCCUCAAUAAAGUUGGAUGGGUUACUUUAGGAGCAGGGGGCAGUCCAGAGUCCCUUUGGAAUCCCGUGGACCUCCUUAUCCUCCUUCCACCGCUGCUUCCCAAGUAGCCGACCAACCAAACCUGAUGAGGCAACGUCUCCUUGCUGCUCUGGAGAAAGCUCACCCCCCGCACCUGGCUCUCCCAGUCCUCCGAUAGCCUGUGCUACAAUCAGGGGCCACUGUGGGGGGCUCUUGGCCUUUCAUGAGAUAGUCCAACAAUAACGCACACCUAAGGCAAAGCACCCGUGUACGUGAUGACCUCGUUGUAUCCUCAUGAUCACCCCACGAGCUGGUAUUUCCCCCAUUUCAAAGAAGAAGAAACUGAGGAUAAAAAGAUUAAAUGAAGGUGGAGCCCAUGGAUUUUUAGAACAGUGAAGCUAUUCUGCAUGAUACUGUGAUGGUGGACACGUGUCAUCAUACCUUCAUCAGAACCUGCAGAACAGGCACCACCCAGAGAGAACCCGAAGGUGGACUUUGGGUAUAAUGUGUCAGCGUAGGUUCACUGAUGGAACAGAUGUACCAUCUGGUGGGGGAUACUGUGCGUACGGAUGUGAUGGAUGACAGUGCGGCGCCUGUGCACGUGUUGGGGCAGGGUACAGCGGAACUCUGCACUUCUUGCUCAAUUUUACUGUG
ensembl:lncRNA